rnacentral:rRNA from 1 species
CAGUCGCCACGGUAAAACGGAGGGUGCAAGCGUUAAUCGGAAUUACUGGGCGUAAAGCGCACGCAGGCGGUCUGACAAGUCAGAUGUGAAAUCCCCGGGCUUAACCUGGGAACUGCAUUUGAAACUGUCAGGCUGGAGUCUUGUAGAGGGGGGUAGAAUUCCAGGUGUAGCGGUGAAAUGCGUAGAGAUCUGGAGGAAUACCGGUGGCGAAGGCGGCCCCAUGGACAAAGACUGACGCUCAGGUGCGAAAGCGUGGGGAGCAAACAGGAUUAGAUACCCCAGUAGUCCCUGUCUCUUAUAC